UACGUAGGUGGCGAGCGUUGUCCGGAAUUACUGGGUGUAAAGGGAGCGUAGGCGGGUCGGCAAGUCAGUGGUGAAAUACAUGGGCUUAACCCAUGAAUUGCCAUUGAAACUGCCGGUCUUGAGUGGAUCAGAGGCAAGCGGAAUUCCGAGUGUAGCGGUGAAAUGCGUAGAUAUUCGGAGGAACACCAGUGGCGAAGGCGGCUUGCUGGGGUCUAACUGACGCUGAGGCUCGAAAGUAUGGGGAGCAAACAGGAUUAGAUACCCU
rnacentral:rRNA from 1 species